rnacentral:rRNA from 1 species
CGGACGGGUGAGUAAUGUCUGGGAAACUGCCUGAUGGAGGGGGAUAACUACUGGAAACGGUAGCUAAUACCGCAUAACGUCGCAAGACCAAAGAGGGGGACCUUCGGGCCUCUUGCCAUCGGAUGUGCCCAGAUGGGAUUAGCUAGUAGGUGGGGUAACGGCUCACCUAGGCGACGAUCCCUAGCUGGUCUGAGAGAUGACCAGCCACACUGGAACUGAGACACGGUCCAG